rnacentral:rRNA from 1 species
CGUCGGAAUCUGGGAGGACCAUCUCCCAACCCUAAAUACUCCCUAGUGACCGAUAGUGAACCAGUACCGUGAGGGAAAGGUGAAAAGCACCCCGGGAGGGGAGUGAAAUAGAACCUGAAACCGUGUGCCUACAACAAGUUCGAGCCCGUUAAUGGGUGAGAGCGUGCCUUUUGUAGAAUGAACCGGCGAGUUACGUUAUGAUGCGAGGUUAAGUUGAAGAGACGGAGCCGUAGGGAAACCGAGUCUGAAUAGGGCGCCUUAGUAUCAUGACGUAGACCCGAAACCAUGUGACCUACCCAUGAGCAGGUUGAAGGUGCGGUAAGACGCACUGGAGGACCGAACCAGGGCACGUUGAAAAGUGCUUGGAUGACUUGUGGGUAGCGGAGAAAUUCCAAACGAACUUGGAGAUAGCUGGUUCUCUCCGAAAUAGCUUUAGGGCUAGCGUCGACAUUAGAGAUUCUUGGAGGUAGAGCACUGUUUGGGUGAGGGGUCCAUCCCGGAUUACCAAUCUCAGAUAAACUCCGAAUGCCAAUGAAUUAUGGUCGGCAGUCAGACUGCGAGUGCUAAGAUCCGUAGUCGAAAGGGAAACAGCCCAGACCACCAGCUAAGGUCCCAAAAUAAUUGUUAAGUGGAAAAGGAUGUGGGGUUGCACAGACAACUAGGAUGUUAGCUUAGAAGCAGCUAUUCAUUCAAAGAGUGCGUAAUAGCUCACUAGUCGAGUGACCCUGCGCCGAAAAUGUACCGGGGCUAAAACAAUUUACCGAAGCUGUGGAUACCUUUAUAGGUAUGGUAGGAGAGCGUUCUAUGUGUGAUGAAGGUAUACCGUGAGGAGUGCUGGAACGCAUAGAAGUGAGAAUGCCGGUAUGAGUAGCGAAAGACAGGUGAGAAUCCUGUCCACCGUAAGACUAAGGUUUCCAGGGGAAGGCUCGUCCGCCCUGGGUUAGUCGGGACCUAAGGAGAGACCGAAAGGUGUAUCCGAUGGACAACAGGUUGAUAUUCCUGUACUAGAGUAUGUAGUGAUGGAGGGACGCAGUAGGCUAACUAAAGCAGACGAUUGGAAGAGUCUGUCUAAGCAGUGAGGUGUGAAUUGAGUCAAAUGCUUAAUUCUAUAACAUUGAGCUGUGAUGGGGAGCGAAGUUUAGUAGCGAAGUUAGUGACGUCACACUGCCAAGAAAAGCUUCUAGCGUUUAAACAUACUCUACCCGUACCGCAAACCGACACAGGUAGUCGAGGCGAGUAGCCUCAGGUGAGCGAGAGAACUCUCGUUAAGGAACUCGGCAAAAUGACCCCGUAACUUCGGGAGAAGGGGUGCUGACUUUAAGUCAGCCGCAGUGAAUAGGCCCAAGCAACUGUUUAUCAAAAACACAGCUCUCUGCUAAAUCGUAAGAUGAUGUAUAGGGGGUGACGCCUGCCCGGUGCUGGAAGGUUAAGAGGAGUGCUUAGCGUAAGCGAAGGUAUGAAUUGAAGCCCCAGUAAACGGCGGCCGUAACUAUAACGGUCCUAAGGUAGCGAAAUUCCUUGUCGGGUAAGUUCCGACCCGCACGAAAGGCGUAAUGAUUUGGGCACUGUCUCAACGAGAGACUCGGUGAAAUUUUAGUACCUGUGAAGAUGCAGGUUACCCGCGACAGGACGGAAAGACCCCAUGGAGCUUUACUGCAGUUUGAUAUUGAGUGUCUGUACCACAUGUACAGGAUAGGUAGGAGUCUAAGAGAUCGGGACGCCAGUUUCGAAGGAGACGCUGUUGGGAUACUACCCUUGUGUUAUGGCCACUCUAACCCAGAUAGGUGAUCCCUAUCGGAGACAGUGUCUGACGGGCAGUUUGACUGGGGCGGUCGCCUCCUAAAAGGUAACGGAGGCGCCCAAAGGUUCCCUCAGAAUGGUUGGAAAUCAUUCGCAGAGUGUAAAGGUAUAAGGGAGCUUGACUGCGAGAGCUACAACUCGAGCAGGGACGAAAGUCGGGCUUAGUGAUCCGGUGGUUCCGUAUGGAAGGGCCAUCGCUCAACGGAUAAAAGCUACCCUGGGGAUAACAGGCUUAUCUCCCCCAAGAGUUCACAUCGACGGGGAGGUUUGGCACCUCGAUGUCGGCUCGUCGCAUCCUGGGGCUGUAGUCGGUCCCAAGGGUUGGGCUGUUCGCCCAUUAAAGCGGCACGCGAGCUGGGUUCAGAACGUCGUGAGACAGUUCGGUCCCUAUCCGUCGCGGGCGUAGGAAAUUUGAGAGGAUCUGCUCCUAGUACGAGAGGACCAGAGUGGACUUACCGCUGGUGUACCAGUUGU